AUUGAACGCUGGCGGCAUGCCUUACACAUGCAAGUCGAGCGGCAGCGCGGGGGCAACCCUCGGCGGCGAGCGGCGAACGGGUGGAGUAAUGCAUCGGAACGUGUCCUCUUGUGGGGGAGUAACCAGUCGAAAGACUGGCUAAUACCGCAUGAGAUCGAGAGAUGAAAGCAGGGGACCGCAAGGCCUUGCGCGAGAGGAGCGGCCGAUGCCGGAUAGCUAGUUGGUGGGGUAAAAGACCUACCAAGGCGACGAUCCGUAGCUGGUCUGAGAGGACGACCAGCCACACUGGGACUGAGACACGGCCCAGACUCCUACGGGAGGCAGCAGUGGGGAAUUUUGACAAUGGGCGCAAGCCUGAUCCAGCCAUGCCGCGUGUGUG
rnacentral:rRNA from 1 species